GAAUACUGUCUUUCAUUAUCAGAAGUUGAAAGUGGGAUUUCAACUAUAAAACAAUGCCUUGGAGAGCUUCCGUUUUAUUCAGCUUCUGAAGAAGGAGAAAACAACGAUUCUUCAAAGAAAAGUCAACAAGUCAACUCGAUCACCGUUUCCUCCAAAAGACCAGCUAUUCUUGCUGAUGGGACUUAUGCAACUCAAAGUGCAGCUUCUGAAACUGCUUUUUCACCUCCAACUGUUGUUCAAGGGACUUUGACUUCUGGGAAUUUAAGGUCACUUCUGUUGACUGGUGAUUUCUUUCUUGGAGCUGUUGUGGCAUGUACUUUGACUAAACUUGUGUUGCGAUUGGCUGAGGUUCAACCUUUGAAGAGUGAAGUGA
rnacentral:lncRNA from 1 species